rnacentral:rRNA from 1 species
AUGAGCUCGUCGGCGACCAAGAAGGGGGCGUCGCUGGUGGUGGCGACGAGCAUGGCGGCCAUGGAGGCGCUCAAGGACCAGGCGGGGCUGUGCCGCUGGGACUAUGCGCUGCGUUCGCUCUACCAGCGCGCCGUGGUCACCGGCCGACGCGCCGCCGCGAGCGGCAGCGCGGGCGCCAUCGGCAGGGCUGCCCGGCCUGGGCGAUCCGAGGAGGAGAAGCUGCACAAGGCGUAUCACGUCGUCUGCUGGGGACCAAACUGA